GAUGAACGCUGGCGGCGUGCCUAAUACAUGCAAGUCGAGCGAACAGACGAGGAGCUUGCUCCUCUGACGUUAGCGGCGGACGGGUGAGUAACACGUGGAUAACCUACCUAUAAGACUGGGAUAACUUCGGGAAACCGGAGCUAAUACCGGAUAAUAUAUUGAACCGCAUGGCUCAAUAGUGAAAGACGGUUUUGCUGUCACUUAUAGAUGGAUCCGCGCCGCAUUAGCUAGUUGGUAAGGUAACGGCUUACCAAGGCAACGAUGCGUAGCCGACCUGAGAGGGUGAUGGGCCACACUGGAACUGAGACAGGGUCCAGACUCCUACGGGAGGCAGCAGUAGGGAAUCUUCCGCAAUGGGCGAAAGCCUGACGGAGCAACGCCGCGUGAGUGAUGAAGGUCUUCGGAUCGUAAAACUCUGUUAUUAGGGAAGAACAAAUGUGUAAGUAACUAUGCACGUCUUGACGGUACCUAAUCAGAAGGCCACGGCUAACUACGUG
rnacentral:rRNA from 1 species